AUUUAAAUAGCUUAAAAAGAGUUUAAUAUUGAAGAUAUUAAGGUGAUGGAAAUCUUUAAAUA
rnacentral:tRNA from 1 species